rnacentral:rRNA from 1 species
AGUGAACGCUGGCGGCGUGCCUAAUACAUGCAAGUCGAACGAACGAAUAAGAGCUUGCUCUUAUAAGUUAGUGGCGCACGGGUGAGUAAUAUAUAGCUAAUCUGCCUCUUAGUAGAGGAUAACAGUCGGAAACGAUUGCUAAUACUCUAUACUUCUGCUUUACAUAAGUAAAGUAGAGAAAGUUUUUCGCUAAGAGAUGAGGCUAUACUGUAUCAGCUAGUUGGUAAGGUAACGGCUUACCAAGGCUAUGACGCAUAACUGGUCUGCGAGGAUGAUCAGUCACAUUGGAACUGAGGCACGGUCCAAACUCCUACGGGAGGCAGCAGUAGGGAAUAUUGCGCAAUGGGGGAAACCCGGACGCAGCAACGCCGCGUGGAGGAUGACACCUUUCGGAGCGUAAACUCCUUUUAUCGGGAAAGAAUAAUGACGGUACCCGAUGAAUAAGCACCGGCUAACUCCGUG